UACGAAGGGGGCUAGCGUUGCUCGGAAUCACUGGGCGUACAGGGUGCGUAGGCGGGUCGACACGUCCGUUGUGAAAUCGCCCGGCUCAACUGGGCGGGGUCAGCGGAUACGGUCGAGCUUGAGCAAGCUAGGGGGCAAUGGAAUUCCCGGUGUAGUGGUGGAAUGCGUAGAUAUCGGGAGGAACACCGGUGGCGAAGGCGGGUCGCUGGGCCGAUAUCGACGCUGAGGAGCGAAAGCGUGGGGAGCGAACAGG
rnacentral:rRNA from 1 species